rnacentral:rRNA from 1 species
CGGGGAAACUCGAAUUAAUACCGCAUACGUCCUACGGGAGAAAGGGGGCAACUUGUUGCUCUCGCUAUUAGAUGAGCCUAAGUCGGAUUAGCUAGAUGGUGGGGUAAAGGCCUACCAUGGCGACGAUCUGUAGCUGGUCUGAGAGGAUGAUCAGCCACACCGGGACUGAGACACGGCCCGGACUCCUACGGGAGGCAGCAGUGGGGAAUAUUGGACAAUGGGGGAAACCCUGAUCCAGCCAUGCCGCGUGUGUGAAGAAGGCCUUUUGGUUGUAAAGCACUUUAAGCAGUGAAGAAGACCUAACGGUUAAUACCCGUUAGCGAUGACUUU